GUGAGCCAGCGAGUGGGUCACUCGAAAGAGAGGAAACUUCUCCCUCACUGCAGGCACCCGAAUUAGCGAUAAUUAGCCGGAGACGGCUGGCGACGGAACAGAAAAGAUAUCCAGUCAGAAGAAUGCCACGAUGAUGGUGAAUAGCCUGAGGUCUCUGAUACUGGAAUGAAACUGCCGACCCGGGUGGAGCAAGGCUAAAUAGAGCACAAGGUCCUGCACCUGCUCCGGUUGGCUGCUUAGCGGAAUCCCGCUUAGAACAGAAGGAGAGUUAUUGCUGGCACGC
rnacentral:RNase_P_RNA from 1 species